ensembl:snRNA U6 U6 spliceosomal RNA
CAGCUCGCUUCGGCAGCACAUAUACUAAAAUUGGAAGGGUAUAGAAAAAAUUAGCAUGGUCCCUGUACAAGGAUGACACCCAAAUUCAUGAAACAUUCCAUACUUUU